rnacentral:rRNA from 1 species
GACGAACGCUGGCGGCGUGCUUAACACAUGCGAGUCGAACGGAAAGGCCCUGCUUUUGUGGGGUGCUCGAGUGGCGAACGGGUGAGUAACACGUGAGUAACCUGCCCUUGACUUUGGGAUAACUUCAGGAAACUGGGGCUAAUACCGGAUAGGAGCUCCUGCUGCAUGGUGGGGGUUGGAAAGUUUCGGCGGUUGGGGAUGGACUCGCGGCUUAUCAGCUUGUUGGUGGGGUAGUGGCUUACCAAGGCUUCGGCGGGUAGCCGGCCUGCGAGGGUGACCGGCGACAUUGGGACUGAGAUACGGCCCAGACUCCUACGGGAGGCAGCAGGGGGGAAUAUUGCACAAUGGGCGGAAGCGUGAUGCAGCAACGCCGCGUGCGGGAUGACGGCCUUCGGGUUGUAAACCGCUUUCGCCGGUGACGAAGCGUGAGUGACGGUAAUGGGUAAAGAAGCACCGGCUAACUACGUG